UACGUAGGUGGCAAGCGUUGUCCGGAUUUACUGGGCGUAAAGGGAGCGUAGGCGGAUUUUUAAGUGAGAUGUGAAAUACCCGGGCUUAACUUGGGUGCUGCAUUUCAAACUGGAAGUCUAGAGUGCAGGAGAGGAGAAGGGAAUUCCUAGUGUAGCGGUGAAAUGCGUAGAGAUUAGGAAGAACACCAGUGGCGAAGGCGGCUUUCUGGACAGUAACUGACGCUGAGGCGCGAAAGCGUGGGUAGCGAACAGGAUUAGAUACCCCCGUAGUCCCUGA
rnacentral:rRNA from 1 species